UACGUAGGGCGCAAGCGUUGUCCGGAAUUAUUGGGCGUAAAGAGCUCGUAGGUGGUUUGUCGCGUCUGCCGUGAAAGCCCGGGGCUUAACUCCGGGUCUGCGGUGGAUACGGGCAGACUAGAGGCAGGUAGGGGGAGAACGGAAUUCCCGGUGUAGCGGUGAAAUGCGCAGAUAUCGGGAGGAACACCGGUGGCGAAGGCGGUGCUCUGGGCCAGUACUGACGCUGAGGAGCGAAAAGCGUGGGGAGCAAACAGGG
rnacentral:rRNA from 1 species